CACGUAUGGGGCGAGCGUUGUUCGGAAUCAUUGGGCGUAAAGGGCGUGUAGGCGGUUAUGAAAGCCUGGUGUGAAAGACUGCAGCUCAACUGCAGGAGCGCGCUGGGAACUGUGUAACUUGAGUUCUGGAGGGGGAGUUAGAAUUCCAGGUGUAGGGGUGAAAUCUGUAGAUAUCUGGAAGAAUACCGGUGGCGAAGGCGAACUCCUGGCCAAGAACUGACGCUGAGGCG
rnacentral:rRNA from 1 species